rnacentral:lncRNA from 1 species
AUGCUUUGGAAUCUCCUUUCUUGGCAUCUAAAAAGAUUGUCUGGAGACAUUUUGGCACCUGAUUGGAUUAGAAUUUUAGCAGGAAAUGGUUUAGAUGGAACUUCCAGAUUUAAUGAUUUCUCUCUUCCAGCUCUGGUCCAUCAGUGUCUAUAUGCGAGGAAAGAGAAGGCAUUGGCAGGGGAUGACCUGGGCAUAAGGAGACAGGGUCUCACUCUGCCACUCAGGCUGAAAUGCAGUGACGUGAUCAUAGCUUACUGCAGCCUCGAGCUCCUGGGCUCAAGCAAUGGAAAUGGCCUUUGGGUAGAGUUGUCUUUCAGGAGGUGUAGCCUGAUUGUGGCCCAGGGAGUUUGGCUGUUCUGUGUGGUACACCUCCACUAUGUGGUCUCCAGUGAGCUGCUCAGCAGGUGUAGACCUGGGCAGGGCAAAGUUCUCUGGGCUGUUGACUGUGAGGCCCCUCCCCACCAGUAGAUUUCCAGGCCUCUUCAGUUUUGCAUUCAGCCACAGCAGGUAAACUCCUCCAGGGCAGGACCUGACUCUUCAGAUGAAGUUUUUAAUCCUUCUCCCCAGAAGUGCCCACGUCAAGGCCAUAGUAGAGAAGAAGCUCAAGAGCAAUCCCUGAGCAACCACACUUGGAGGCAUCCUGCAUCAGAGGGAUUUGUUCCAGACUCAGAUUUAAUCCACUAUUUCCUUUUCAUAAGACAAGUGUUGUCUGAAGGAGUCUGUGUGUGAUUUUGAGACGAAAGGAUUGCAGAACUCAGCUCCCAGGUUGUCUCGUAUCUGAUUCUUCGAAAGGGGAAAAGAAGUGAACUUUUCUGCACAAUAGCUGAGCAGACAGGAGAGAAAAAGCUUGAAGAUUCACAGUGGAGCAAGGCUAAUUGAAGCCUUCCUCAGAGCAGCUCAACUCUCCCAAUUUUAUGUAUCCCAUUCCUUGCCAUUCCCACUGUAAUUCUGACUUGGCAAGAGCACCACACUGAAUGUUCUCAAAGUACUUUGUAGACUUUAAUUAGUUCUGUGGGAAGUCAGGCAAAGCUCAGCCUUCAUUCUGCCAACAGAGACGACAGUGGUGGGUGUGGAAGGAAGGCAAGAAGAAGAUGGACACCCAGAGCAAUUGUGCAAGUUACUGAAGGCCCUGUGGAUAGAAGGAACUGGGUUUAAAACCCCUGAGUCUUGAUAAAAGUGUCUUAGCCUUCCAGAUUCCUAAACAGGUAGUGGGCUCAUCCUACUAACCUACUUUGCUAGGGUGUUGUUGAUGAAUGCUUAUAAACCCUGUCCUAGAUGAUAGGUUUGGAAGAUUGUUAAGGAAAGCAUGUCAUUAAGUCCCUACUCACCCCCUCCUCGACAAAUAGCCCUGGAGGGAAAUGAAUGUUAGCCAGAAUCGGAGGGCCUCCACUUCAAUGGGAUGAACUGAGAUUCAACAACAGGAGAAGUGUUCCAACAGUGAGGGAAAUCAACGAUGUGCUGGGGGUGAAGGGUAGAGGUUGGGAAGGCCUAAACAGGUGACCCAUUGCCAGACAGCCCAGACAAGAUCAUCACGGAAUAGUUGAUUCCCAUUAGUCACUGUGGAUGAUUGUUUUCUUAAAAUUCAGGACACCAUUUUGUAGUAGUUUCCCUUCCUCUCUUUGUAAGAGCAGAAGACCUCUCUGGGGCCUAUCACAAGACAAGUGGGUGUUUGCAAAUGAGGGACAUAGUUUGAACCUGAAUUGCUCUGUGCUUCUCUAAAAGACAUGGUUAAGAAUUUGGGCUCUGAUGUUAGAGACCAAGAUUAAAAUCCUUCCUUGCCACUUCCAUCAGUAUAAAUUUGG